AACGCAAUUGCGCCCUCUCGGUCGCUUCCAAUUGGGGGUUGACUCAUAGGGGGUACAUCUGUUCGAGGGUCAUUUGAAUCUCUCAAAGGGUUUGUGGUUCAAUGCACACACACCCUUUGGAUUUUGGGUCUUGCCGUGAAAUCCACCUCGGCUCACCUUGAAAGCAUUAGCAAGCUUCCAAAGUCUUUUUUUGAUGAGGGCGUUCUAAAUUGAUCAAGCCUUAAAAUAUAAGGGUCACUGGUCUGUGUAGCCAGUGAAAAGACGUCUAAACAUCAUAAAAGUGACUUUUUUGGUCCUGAAGCUGGCUUCCAAUCAUCCUUAUAGGAUGGGCAUUGAGCUCCUUCAAUGUAUCAAUGACCUCGAAUCAGAUGAGAAUACCCGCUGAACUUAA
rnacentral:misc_RNA from 1 species